rnacentral:rRNA from 1 species
CAAUAGCGUAUAUUAAAGUUGUUGCGGUUAAAAAGCUCGUAGUUGGAUUUCUGCUGAGAACGACCGGUCCGCCCUCUGGGUGUGUAUCUGGCUCUUUCUUGGCAUCUUCUUGGUGAACGUUGCUGCACUUGACUGUGUGGAGCGCUACCCAGGACUUUUACUUUGAGGAAAUUAGAGUGUUUCAAGCAGGCAUACGCCUUGAAUACAUUAGCAUGGAAUAAUAAGAUAGGACCUCGGUUCUAUUUUGUUGGUUUCUAGAGCUGAGGUAAUGAUUAAUAGGGAUAGUUGGGGGCAUUCGUAUUUAACUGUCAGAGGUGAAAUUCUUGGAUUUGUUAAGGACGGACUACUGCGAAAGCAUUUGCCAAGGAUGUUUNCAUUG